GGUCGGGCCUCUUGCAAGAAGGACCAGCGAACCCCGCCAGGCCUGGAAAGGAGCAACGGUAGUUAGGACACCUUCAUGUGCGUGAGUGCCUGAUCGCU
rnacentral:SRP_RNA from 1 species